CAGCAUUUGAAGGCAGGAGAUGCUUGAGGCAUCAGUCAGCAUAGGUCAGAAAUGAUGGAGGAGACUCAGGAUUGCCCCUCUGGGAAGCUCAUGCGGUUCCAGGUCAAGCUUCAAAUGAGCUGCACCUCCAGAGGACUCCGUCCAUCGAUUUCCACAUCACCAGAGGAACAGACAGCCCAAGUGACAUGAUCUAGAGUUGGAAUCGUCACAUUUUUCACCCAGCAAGAUGGAUGCUCAGAGCCCACGAGCAUUGGUG